GGCCCUGUGGCUUAUUUGGCUAAAGCACCUGUCUAAUAAACAGGAGGUCCUAGGUUCAAAUCCCAGCAAGGCCU
rfam:Alligator mississippiensis ScZkoYb_2214, whole genome shotgun sequence.